AAAGCAUUUUACCAUAAGUUUGCAAAAUUUCUAAUAAAGUCAAUCAAAGUCAUAUUGAAACACAUAGUUUCAAGAUCUUUUCAAGGUUGUAAUGAGGCUUAUGUUUAGGUAGGAUAUUUUGGGAGAGUAGGCUUAAACGUUUGGAGUUAGAUACCUAGUUUUGUGUCACUUACCUUGUUCCUUUCAUAAUAAUCAUUUGCCUAGUUAGUCGGUACUAAAAAAUGUACAUUG
rnacentral:lncRNA from 1 species